CCGACCACGCCUCAUAUUUGUACUGUAAAUUGGCUCACUGGGCGUACGUAGGCGUAGUCGGGUUGCGAACUGCCUUGUCAUUACCCUCGGAUCUUCUCUCCUUGUCACAGCAUACCUGACGCUAAACACGCCGAAAGGCCUGGCCGCUAGUGUUGUCCCGCGCGGGCGCGUUGGGGGAGUGGAGCGAACCACAUUUCGACGCAUGCCGCUAUUUAUGCGCAUGACCCAC
rnacentral:ribozyme from 1 species